rnacentral:rRNA from 1 species
GAUGAACGCUGGCGGCGUGCCUAAUACAUGCAAGUCGAGCGAACGGACGAGAAGCUUGCUUCUCUGAUGUUAGCGGCGGACGGGUGAGUAACACGUGGAUAACCUACCUAUAAGACUGGGAUAACUUCGGGAAACCGGAGCUAAUACCGGAUAAUAUUUUGAACCGCAUGGUUCAAAAGUGAAAGACGGUCUUGCUGUCACUUAUAGAUGGAUCCGCGCUGCAUUAGCUAGUUGGUAAGGUAACGGCUUACCAAGGCAACGAUGCAUAGCCGACCUGAGAGGAUGAUCGGCCACACUGGAACUGAGACACGGUCCAGACUCCUACGGGAGGCAGCAGUAGGGAAUCUUCCGCAAUGGGCGAAAGCCUGACGGAGCAACGCCGCGUGAGUGAUGAAGGUCUUCGGAUCGUAAAACUCUGUUAUUAGGGAAGAACAUAUGUGUAAGUAACUGUGCACAUCUUGACGGUACCUAAUCAGAAAGCCACGGCUAACUACGU